CCGACGCCUCGUUCCUCUACCCAGUGUCCGUUAAAUUCUUUCCUUCGCCUUCUUAAAAAUAAUUCUGCAUCGCUUCUCGCGCGAUGCAUUUUUCAAAUCGCAACAUUGAGCAAAACAUAGCUGGUCCCGCGAGACGCGGCGCGAUACCGACCUCGUUACCGAGGGCCCGUCUUCGUCGCGAAUUAUAAAGUUCUUAGGGAGUUUGUCGGCUCGUUUUUUCGAUCUACUCGAAGCCGAGGUGUUAUUCGCGGGCUCGACGAGCCAUUCCGAAGCAACCCGUUAUUUAAUCUUCGACCAGCUCGUUAUCCGGCAAUUAUGAAGACUCGCUCGAAUCGAUGACGAGUUUUUAACCCGUCUACGAUACGUUUUUUCCCAUCUUCUUCCGGUCGACGGAGGAGGAUAAAGAAAACGUGGUCGUUCGGAGACACCGUGUACGUUUGGAAUGACGGCCUCGUCCAGAUAUGGUAGACCCUUCCUUCCUCUGCACGGUUCGCCCCCGAGUGGCGUAGAUUUCAGAUAGGUAGGGGUACGUAACGCGUACGUAUACGCGGCUUCGGUGCGUAAGCUGGCCGAGUCGAGUCGAUAGCGUCACCUUUCUGUUCCAUUGAAAUCCCCUUUAAAAUUCGAAACACGAAAAACUCGAGAGCCCGUGCGCUCCAUCCUGGUGGCCCGUCGAGGCCGCUCGGCUGCCUCGUCCCUGGCUUUCUCUCGCUCGUGUUUUCGCUUUCAAAACCGAGCCAAUAGUCUAUCGAGAUAUACACCGAUGAAAAAUCGCUCGGUAAGUUCUUUGAAAUCUGAAAUUUUAAAAACUGUCCGGAAUUUCACGAACUUCCCUUCCCACGAUUACGCGACGCAUGGAAUUCGCCGUGAAUGGUAACGCGUCGAGGCGGCAGGAAAUAAUAAAGCGAUAUCCGGAAUGGAGAAAAAAAUUACCGGCGUAUUAGCGGACGCCUGCGGGGGGUCUUUGAUGGGCUAGCAAGAGAAAAGAAGAGGCGAUAUCUAUAACCGUAUAACGCCAUACGUCGCCACCGGUUGUUGCUGCUGGUGUACGGAGCUAACUGUAGGUCCCUAUUGGCCAAUAACGCCCUUCUCCGUAACAUAGUGGCACAAUAACGUAGGUUCUUUAUGCGAGUACAGGGCAAAUAGAUCACAUUGCUGACUAAUAAGCCCGCUGGUGCGACGCCGCUCUCCCUUCGACUUUCUCCUCCGUCUUUGCUAACGGUCUCUCUCUCCGGUCCGUCCCCAUUCGGAACGGCCCGUUUCCCCGCAUUUUCCCUGGUUUUCUUCCGAAAAUUCCUACCUACCCCGUCUAUCAAUAGCGUUACGCGUAGCCUUUGCGCGCAGAGGGUGUCCGGCAUUGUGAUGCUAAUGCGAAACGCAAUCGAUCCGGCUCUCGUUACGUCCUCGUAAGCCACGAGAAAAAGCCACGAGACCUCGUGAACUUUGACUUUUCUCUUUUUUCAGAAGAAUCCAUGGGAAUCCACGAAAGGAGUUCGACGAAAGAGUAGCAUCGCAAAGAGAUUUUCUGGGGGGCGGUGGAUGUUCGGGACGGAUGGUCGGGUAACGGGUCAACGACAGAGACAGGAGCGAUACGAUCUCGGAUGGGAUCAGAGGGUAGGAAUCGCAGAGACGGUGAAGGCAACCGUCAGUCUAUAUUAAAUCGCAGAGCGAGGAUAAUACUUCGAAACUCGGAGACCGUCUCUCGAUUACCGGUCUAAUUAUCUGGCAAGGCAGGAUAGGGCAACCCCAUCUUCCGGAGAUGGAAUUGCCAGUUCCCACCGUCCUUCCAGUUACCGACGUCGGGUCUACCCUACUACCGAGGUCAUUGUUACGUCGUUACUACCCUUUAGUACGGUUCUCCAGCCAAUUUCGGUCCGGCACGACAGCUACGAUUUCCGCCACCCCUUCACGGCUGACCGAGUACGGAUUUCCCCGCGAAAUCGAUCACCCCUUCCUUCCUCUCCUACCUUCUUUUCUCGAACGACCAAAGGGAGCCCCUUGGUCAGCGAUUCGAAUCUACAAACCGAUUCGAAUUCGAUUCGAACCUAACCCCGAACUCGCGUUCCUCCUUUCCAACCUCGGACACGAUGGAAACAGACGAAACAAGGGAAUUUAUCGCGGUAGGUGGCAGAGUUAAGCUAGACGACGACGACGAGGUCGGGCCUGCAAUCAAUACCGUUUCGGUAUCACGUUGGAAACACUCUCUCCGAAACAGCCUACGUUUCGCUUCGGACGAGAGAACGAGAGAGGAGAGCAGAAGAUGGUAAGGCGAAGGAGGCCGAGGAGACAAGGGAGAGAAGGGCAUCGUAUCGGAUAGAAGAGAAACGCUGCCUUGGAUGGACGAAGAAAGGGACGGAGGGGAGAUGGAGACUUGGACCAGGUUUCGUGGUCCGCAUACUGAUAGGACUAGUGAAACGAUCGUCCGCGGCGAUGUUCUACUCUCCCGAAUUCGGAGGACGAAGAGGGUUCGAGGACCUAGCUGAAGGAAGGAACCGGUAGAACGCGGAGCCGAGGACGAGGAGAGAGGGCGUUUAUUAGCAAUUGUAAUGCAAGAUCGCGGAAUGCAUGGGAUCCCCGCGAUGCCUCGAUACAACAGUGCCGGUACGCGUGUUCCUGGUAACACGAUUCUCGAUCGCGUUCGCUAUCUUCGCAAGGGCUUUGUCCCGCUCUGCUCGCCCCGUCAACUCCUAACAUCGGGCAUUCCUUCGAGCGAAGCCCAAACGAUCUUCCAAGAUACCGAAAUACCGAGUAAAUUUCCACCGCGAUUACCUCGACAACAUCCAUUCCUAAUCGCUCGAUAAACUUCUUCCUCCGAACUGACAACUGAUCUUAUCCAGCCUUAAAAUUACAGGGAGGUAGAUAGUUUGGAAGAUGGAAGGUGUUCAGCAUCAGGUAUCGAUUUGUUUAAUGGCGGUGUUGGUCGUUUACGGUACGUGGGAACUGAUUUGCCGAAUGCAUGUGCGACACCAUGCAUGUUCCAUGAUGCUGCAUGCAACUGCAUCGCGAACAACGUUGUAGCGCGUUGU